rnacentral:rRNA from 1 species
UUGGAGGGCAAGUCUGGUGCCAGCAGCCGCGGUAAUUCCAGCUCCAAUAGCGUAUAUUAAAGUUGUUGCAGUUAAAAUGCUCGUAGUUGAAUUUCGGGAUCAAUUUGCUGGUCGUGCCUCUGGUACGUACUGGUAUUAUUGGUUUCUCCCUUCUGACGAACCAUGAUGUCAUUAAUUUGAUGUCGUGGAGAAUCAGGACUGUUACUUUGAAAAAAUUAGAGUGUUUAAAGCAGGCAUUAGCUUGAAUACAUUAGCAUGGAAUAAUGAAAUAGGACGUUUGAUCCUAUUUUGUUGGUUUCUAGGAUUGACGUAAUGAUUAAUAGGGAUAGUUGGGGGCAUUAGUAUUCAAUUGUCAGAGGUGAAAUUCUUGGAUUUAUUGAAGACUAACUACUGCGAAAGCAUUUGCCAAGGAUGUUUUCAUUAAUCAAGAACGAAAGUUAGGGGAUCGAAGACGAUCAGAUACCGUCGUAGUCUUAACCAUAAACUAUGCCGACUAGGGAUCGGAUGAUGUUAAUUUUUUAAUGACUCAUUCGGCGCCUUACGGGAAACCAAAGUGUUUGGGUUC